GGUCUCGAGACGCAGUCAGGCUCAAGGGUCGAUACUGCGGAUCGGGACCAUCCUCGGGAAGAGCAUGUCUGUCAUUGAGUUGAUGGGCAUGGGACUCCCGUCUUUUACUGUGAGCAAAAUAGGGUGUUCAAAGCAGGCUUACGCCGUUGAAUACAUUAGCAUGGAAUAAUAAGAUAGGACCUCGGUCUAUUUUGUUGGUUGUAUUCGGAGGUA
rnacentral:rRNA from 1 species